UUCCUGGUGGUCUAGUGGUUAAGACUCUACACUUGCACGGCAGAGGGCACAGGUUUGAUCCCUGAUCUGGGGA
rnacentral:tRNA from 1 species